rnacentral:rRNA from 1 species
UACGUAGGGUGCGAGCGUUGUCCGGAAUUAUUGGGCGUAAAGGGCUCGUAGGCGGUUUGUCGCGUCGGGAGUGAAAACACUGGGCUUAACUCAGUGCUUGCUUUCGAUACGGGCAGACUAGAGGUAUGCAGGGGGAGAACGGAAUUCCUGGUGUAGCGGUGAAAUGCGCAGAUAUCAGGAGGAACACCGGUGGCGAAGGCGGUUCUCUGGGCAUUACCUGACGCUGAGGAGCGAAAGUGUGGGGAGCGAACAGG